UAGGGAAUCUUCCACAAUGGGCGAAAGCCUGAUGGAGCAACGCCGCGUGUGUGAUGAAGGCUUUCGGGUCGUAAAGCACUGUUGUAUGGGAAGAACAGCUAGAAUAGGAAAUGUAUUUUUAGUUUGACGGUACCAUACCAGAAAGGGACGGCUAAAUACGUGCAG
rnacentral:rRNA from 1 species